rnacentral:misc_RNA from 1 species
GAAAUGCGAUAAGUAGUGUGAAUUGCAGAAUUCAGUGAAUCAUCGAAUCUUUGAACGCACAUUGCGCCCUUUGGUAUUCCUAGGGCAUGCCUGUUCGAGCGUCAUCUAAACCUUCAAGCCCUGCUUGGUGUUGGGUGCCUGUCCCGCCUCCGCGCGCGGACUCACCUCAAAUCCAUUGGCGGCCCCCGCGUCGGCCACGAGCGCAGCAGAAACGCGAACUCGUGAGCCCGUCCGGGCGGCUCCCAGAAGCUACACCCACCCAGUUUGACCUCGGAUCAGGUAGGGAUACCCGCUGAACUUAAGC